GUUUUUGCUCUACUGACUGUUUUUAGCUUUCUCUUUGGCAAAUGAUAUAGUAGUAUGGUGUAUAGCGAUAUAACCCAGCACCCAAAAUACUAUCAAAACAGCCAUUGUUAACUGACAAGCUGCGCACUUGUCAGUUAUCAUCGGCUCUGUGCAGUAACAGCAGCUCUAUGUGAAAUCAUGCACCUGAUGGAGUUUACCACUGAUUAGAGAGCAGGCUUUACUGACGAGAUGCGCAUUAAUUAUCGGCCGAUAUUUAUCGUGCAACCCUACUAAAAAUGCAUACAGGAAACAUAAAGCUUGAAAAAAUAAUACACAACCCUGCCAAAUCACAGAGAUGCUGAUUCGCACAGGACUAAUAUUAUCACAGGACGAGUUCAGCCAAAUGUUCUAGGUAAUUUGCAAUUUUUGGAAUUUUAACUUCACAAAUUUGGGAUUCACACAGGAUUAAGAUCACAGACAAGCGUCACAAUUAUUACAAUUGACUAGAGGUCAAAAGGUUAUACUCAUCAUGUGCCAAUAAGGAGCUAUUGAUUGAGCACAAAUCUUAAUAUUCUUAUAAACAGCAUUUAAUAGUACACAGAUUAUCAUGUCCAAUAAUAUUAAGAAUAUUCAUAUUAAUGUUGAAUGAAAUAUUGGAUAUUUAAAUUUAAUAUCUAACAAUAUUCAAAUGUAUAUCACUCUAAUAAUAUGCACAAUACUGAGAUUAUAAUCAAUGUCUAAUCAAUCAAUAAUUACUUCAUAUGUAAAAAAAAAAAUAAUAAUAUUCUAAAUAUUCUGUUAAUAAUCAAUGCCCGACAACAUUCAGAAUAUUCAAAUUAUAUUCAGUUUCUAACAAUUCUCGGAAUAUUCUCUACUCUUCUAGAAAAACACGUGCAGGGAAAAAGUAACCACAUAUGCAAAAUAUAUAUUAGAGUCACAAAAUGGAUACAAACGAGGCUUAAACUAAAAAAAAAUGAAACGUGAGAAAUCAAUAAAGCACAGCAGAAACAUCCUGAUUCUGGAAGUGUGCAGCUAUUUGCGCAGCCAUUUAUCACUUGAGCCAUUAGAUUUGUAUGUAUGAGUAUUUAAUGCUCAUAAAGAUUCUGCAUGGUUUGAAUGGGCUAUUUAUAGCAACCCAAUGACGUUGUUUAUCAAACGUAACCCCUUCCCACAGAUCUCGCCCAGAAUCCAAAACACCGCGAGACCACACUGCUCUCUUCACUACCCUAGGACAAGGCUGUUCGCGAUGAAUGUAUAGACAGGUGUGUCGCAGCAUAUGGCGAUGGCACACACAGCUGCCGACAUCUUGAGAGAAAAAGCACAUUUUGAGUUUUGAAGUGGCAUCCUACAGCUUUUAAAAGCAAACUGGUCUGCAAUACAUCCUCAAGACAGAUCCUCCAUUCGAGGGCGUUUGCUGUGGUUUCCUGAAGGACAUGAGACUGCAGACGAAGCAGGAGUAGGUCUGGGUUCAUCUGGGGCAUCCCUAAAACCCUGGACCUGUGUGAGAUCACAAAUAUAUAUAGAGAGAAAUAGUGCACAUUCUCUGCCUCUCUGACCUUGUCGGCUCGGUUUAAAAAGCAAGAGGGUCUGCGGCAAUUCAAAUGCAGGGAGGCUGAACUGUACAGCCAGCGGGAAGACCUUCAACUUUAUGGCAAGAGACGAGAAAGCAUGAUGGAGAUGCUCUCUGUGCAUCUCUACUGCCUGCUGCUACAGAGUAAUAGACUGGCAGUUGGAUGAGCUGCUGGGCAAGGCCAUUUAGGAGACGAGUCCUCUGAGAAAGAUCCUCAAAGUCAUGCCGGAAUGGGAAGGCGAUGCUGUCAAUCACUACCAACCUCACCUGUGAUUGGAUGAUACAACAUGAUGCUCAGAAAGGAAGUCAGGUAGGAGGUAAACCUCAGCUAACAGCUCUACAUAGUCAUGGCAACGGACCAAGAAGAGACUUGAGAGGAUCUUCUCGACAGUAAGUUCCUCUAAAGCCUGUCUCUGUUCUAAGAGGAAAAGCAAAGACAGAUUAUUUGACAAUUAUACAUUUUGUGUUUCAAAAAUGAAUUCAAAUGUGCAUGAAACUACAGGUAAAGUUGAAAAAUAUUAGGUCUGAAGCGCUCAUAAAGCAUUUUAUUUUUCUAAACGUACAUUUAGACAUCCCAACUUAGCUUAAAUACUCAAAUCAGACCUGUAUCCUCUGCCAGGAGGGUGCAGUGCUGCACGACUGCCUCUGCCAUAUCAACAACCCGCUGCACUAAGAAACUCCCUUCUGUGUCUAUAUACAGUGCCUUUCCUCCCAGACCUCCAAAGCACACAGGAAUCUGGACGUCCACAGCAAGCUGCAUGCUUUAAAAGAAAAAAAGGAAGAAAAAAAAACAUCUAUUCUGCUUUAGGGCACAUAGCACUUUUUGAAAUAUGUGCCACAUAUUAGCAAGACAUUUGAAUUUAAGAUGCACUAUACAUUUUAUAAUCCAUUUCCUUCCAUACCACAGUUGAGUCUUUCCAACACCAGGGGCCCCACAGAUCUCAGUGGUCUUUCCCACGGGCACGCCCCCUCCUAGGGCAUCAUCCAGGGCUGAGCAGAACGUCACAAUGCUCCCCAGAGCCUGCUCCUGGUGCAGGAGAUCCAGAGCUGUUAGGCUCUCCGUUGCUGCUCUCUGCUGGUGAGGCUGGCCAUCAUCCCUCAACAUCUGCAACACCUCCACUGCCUCCUCCUGUGAGAUACCUGCCUCUGUGAGCGAAACAAGCACAGAUAUAACAAAAAUAGCUGAAGAGGACGCAUGUCAAUCAAAUCUGACGCCACUUGGAAACCCGCGUUGAUGAGCUUCACCUUCACCGAGGGCGCCAGAGGGAGGCUGGGCACAGUCCUCUGCAUCUUACUGACACGGACGAGCACCCGGCUAAAAUUACGUUGUACACACGGUUGUCGGUUCUAUGCCAGUUUAGGACAAAUGACAACAAAUUCUAGCCAUUCGAAAAUAUCUUCCUUUAGGAGGACACACUUAAAAUCACUCUUUGAAGAAUUUACUAUCGAAAGAAUAUUUUUAUGAAAUCAAAAUAUAAACAUAUGAGGACUUCUGUUUCUUCAUGUAUUUUCCUUCCCUUUGAUACUCCCUCCAAAACAAGAAACGAAGUGGAAUGUGGAAAAGUCUCUUCAAAAUAAAAGUCCCAAGACGACGUCAAUGACGCAUUUUAGUAUACGAUUAUAUUCCGUUUAUUUAUUGCAUGUAAUAUGCAGUGUUGGGGAGUAGUCCCAGUGUUGGGGAGUAAUUUACAAUAGUAAAUAUUAUAUGUAAUAAAAUUAUUCGUAUUGUCUCUAAGUAUAUAAUAGUAAUACAAUUUUAUAAUAAAUAGAGCCAUUCAGUAA